rnacentral:rRNA from 1 species
GACGAACGCUGGCGGCGUGCUUAACACAUGCAAGUCGAACGGUAAGGCCCUUCGGGGUACACGAGUGGCGAACGGGUGAGUAACACGUGGGUGAUCUGCCCUGCACUUCGGGAUAAGCCUGGGAAACUGGGUCUAAUACCGGAUAGGACCACUGCCUGCAUGGGUGGUGGUGGAAAGCUUUUGCGGUGUGGGAUGGGCCCGCGGCCUAUCAGCUUGUUGGUGGGGUGAUGGCCUACCAAGGCGACGACGGGUAGCCGGCCUGAGAGGGUGACCGGCCACACUGGGGCUGAGAUAGGACCCAGACUGCUACGGGAGGCAGCAGUGGGGAAUAUUACACAAUGGGCGCAAGCCUGAUGCAGCGACGCCGCGUGAGGGAUGACGGCCGUCGGGUUGUAAACCUCUUUCAGCACCGACGAAGCGCAAGUGACGGUAGGUGCAGAAGAAGGACCGGCCAACUACGUGCCAGCCGCCGCCGUAA